rnacentral:rRNA from 1 species
GAUGAACGCUGGCGGCGUGCCUAAUACAUGCAAGUCGAGCGAACAGACGAGGAGCUUGCUCCUCUGACGUUAGCGGCGGACGGGAGAGUAACACGUGGAUAACCUACCUAUAAGACUGGGAUAACUUCGGGAAACCGGAGCUAAUACCGGAUAAUAUAUUGAACCGCAUGGUUCAAUAGUGAAAGACGGUUUUGCUGUCACUUAUAGAUGGAUCCGCGCCGCAUUAGCUAGUUGGUAAGGUAACGGCUUACCAAGGCAACGAUGCGUAGCCGACCUGAGAGGGUGAUCGGCCACACUGGAACUGAGACACGGUCCAGACUCCUACGGGAGGCAGCAGUAGGGAAUCUUCCGCAAAGGGCGAAAGCCUGACGGAGCAACGCCGCGUGAGUGAUGAAGGUCUUCGGAUCGUAAAACUCUGUUAUUAGGGAAGAACAAAUGUGUAAGUAACUAUGCACGUCUUGACGGUACCUAAUCAGAAAGCCACGGCUAACUACGUG